UAUAGAGACUCAGAGCUGCAUAUCAAUAAGCGGAGGAAAAGAAACUAACUAGGAUUCCCUUAGUAACGGCGAGUGAAGCGGGAAGAGCUCAAAUUUGAAAUCUUCAAGGUUUUACCUUGACGAAUUGUAGUUUAAAGAAGUGUUUUCUGUUAGAUUUGAGUAGCAAAAGUUCCUUUGGAAAGGGACAUCAUAGAGGGUGAGAAUCCCGUAUUUGGUCAUUCCUCCUAGCUUUGUGAUACACUUUCAACGAGUCGGAUUGUUUGGGAAUGCAGUCCAAAAUGGGUGGUAAAUUUCAUCUAAAGCUAAAUAUUGGCGAGAGACCGAUAGCGAACAAGUACCGUGAGGGAAAGAUGAAAAGAACUUUGAAAAGAGAGUUAAACAGUACGUGAAAUUGUCAAAAGGGAAGCGUUUGACACCAGUGUUGUUUUUCUCGAAAAUCAAUUAACGAAUGAGCUUAGAUUUUGUGUUGUAUUGACCUUAAUCAGCUUUCUGCACUUUAUUUCUAGUCUUUCUUAAUGCACUUUUGGUUAACAAGUCAACAUCAAUUUCUUUUGUUGUAAAAGAGUAUUCGGAAGGUGGCCUUCUUUUCGGAGAAAGUGUUUAUAGCCCUAUACUUCUACAAUCGGAGAGAUUGAGGUCUGCAGCGUAGAUCCUUCGGGGUUAGAUACACUUGUGCUAAGUUGUAGCUUUUCAUAGACAACUUGUUGACUAUGUUUAGUCAUGCGGCUUACUCGCUUGUGCUAUUUUACCUACGCUUAGGAUGUUGACGAUCAGCUGAGCGCG
rnacentral:rRNA from 1 species